UUCUAGGCCAUCGCCGUUUUGUUGGGUUUAUCAAUCUUUUAUGCGACUUUACUCGAAUAUCAACGUAAUUUGAAUAUCUCCCGACUUUCUUGUUGGACUUCCAAAGUCUGACACCUCGUGAACGUCAUCCUACGAAUACACAGAUGUAAUGUGCAUACUACAUGGAAAACAAUUCAAGUUCAAGCAGCAUCGAUCAGUUACAGAUAACGAAUAACGCGUGAUACAAGACAUUGACGAUUUUGAUAAAUGUUACGGUGCAUAUUUUGGCUGAGGCGAGAGGAACGGCGACGGUCCAUUGUAAAACCGCCUAUGUAAAACUGUGUAGGCGAUCCCAAGAUGUGGCGAUCACGACUCCAAUACCAAAUACGCAAGCGGCGCUGGCGAAGGAACGUUGUACGAAUGUGUAAUAUGGCCGGAGGGGGGGUAUGAAACCUUGUGCCCUGCAUUAUGCAUAUCCAUGUGACUCGGGAAACGGCUUAAUUAAUUAUGCACGGCACGAUAGAGCGCGACGCGAAGGACAACCGAGCCUUUCUUUGACGGAUAAGCGGUCGACCUACGCUGAGUGCGA